GACAGAGGGUGCAAACGUUGUUCGGAAUUACUGGGCGUAAAGCGAGUGUAGGCGGUUUGGUAAGUCGGAUGUGAAAGCCCCGGGCUCAACCCGGGAAGUGCACUCGAUACUGCCAAGCUAGAGUAUCGGAGAGGUUGGUGGAAUUCUCGGUGUAGAGGUGAAAAUUCGUAGAUAUCGAGAGGAACACCGGUGGCGAAGGCGGCCAACUGGACGAAUACUGACGCUGAGACGCGAAAGCGUGGGGAGCAAACAGG
rnacentral:rRNA from 1 species